UGGGCAAAUCCCGGGGCCCUUACCAUGCAAGUCGAGGGGCAGCAUGAGGUUUGCUUGCAAACCUUGAUGGCGACCGGCGCACGGGUGAGUAACGCGUAUCCAACCUUCCCAUAACCGGAGAAUAACCUGCCGAAAGGUAGACUAAUACUCCAUGGUUUCCGCUGAUGGCAUCAGAUGUGGAAUAAAGAUUUUUUUUGGUUAUGGGUGGGGAUGCGUCUGAUUAGCUUGUUGGCGGGGUAACGGCCCACCAAGGCGACGAUCAGUAGGGGUUCUGAGAGGAAGGUCCCCCACAUUGGAACUGAGACACGGUCCAAACUCCUACGGGAGGCAGCAGUGAGGAAUAUUGGUCAAUGGGCGAAAGCCUGAACCAGCCAAGUAGCGUGCAGGAUGACGGCCCUAUGGGUUGUAAACUGCUUUUAUGCGGGGAUAAAGUUAGUCACGUGUGACUAUUUGCAGGUACCGCAUGAAUAAGGACCGGCUAAUUCCGUGCCAGCAGCCGCGGUAAUACGGAAGGUCCCGGCGUUAUCCGGAUUUAUUGGGUUUAAAGGGAGCGUAGGCCGUGGAUUAAGCGUGUUGUGAAAUGUAGACGCUCAACGUCUGACUUGCAGCGCGAACUGGUUCACUUGAGUGUGCGCAACGCAGGCGGAAUUCGUGGUGUAGCGGUGAAAUGCUUAGAUAUCACGAAGAACUCCGAUUGCGAAGGCAGCUUGCGGGAGCACAACUGACGCUGAAGCUCGAAAGUGCGGGUAUCAAACAGGAUUAGAUACCCUGGUAGUCCGCACGGUAAACGAUGGAUGCCCGCUCUUCGUUCUUUUGAAUGAGGGACCAAGCGAAAGCAUUAAGCAUCCCACCUGGGGAGUACGCCGGCAACGGUGAAACUCAAAGGAAUUGGCGGGGGCCCGCACAAGCGGAGGAACAUGUGGUUUAAUUCGAUGAUACGCGAGGAACCUUACCCGGGCUUGAAUUGCAGGAGAAGAAUACAGGGAUGUUGACGUCCUUCGGGA
rnacentral:rRNA from 1 species